rnacentral:rRNA from 1 species
UACGUAGGGCGCAAGCGUUGUCCGGAAUUAUUGGGCGUAAAGAGCUCGUAGGCGGCCUGUCGCGUCUGCUGUGAAAUCCCGGGGCUUAACCCCGGGCGUGCAGUGGAUACGGGCUGGCUGGAGGCAGGCAGGGGAGAAUGGAAUUCCCGGUGUAGCGGUGAAAUGCGCAGAUAUCGGGAGGAACACCGGUGGCGAAGGCGGCAUCCUGGACCAACACUGACGCUGAGUGAGCGAAAGCCAGGGGAGCAAACGGG